AUUGAACGCUGGCGGCAGGCCUAACACAUGCAAGUCGAGCGAGCGGCGGACGGGUGAGUAAUGUCUGGGGAACUGCCCGAUAGAGGGGGAUAACUACUGGAAACGGUAGCUAAUACCGCAUACUAUCGGAUGAACCCAGAUGGGAUUAGCUAGUAGGUGGGGUAACGGCUCACCUAGGCGACGAUCCCUAGCUGGUCUGAGAGGAUGACCAGCCACACUGGAACUGAGACACGGUCCAGACUCCUACGGGAGGCAGCAGUGGGGAAUAUUGCACAAUGGGCGCAAGCCUGAUGCAGCCAUGCCGCGUGUAUGAAGAAGGCCUUCGGGUGGUAAAGUACUUUCAGCGGGGAGGCGUUACCCGCAGAAGAAGCACCGGCUAACUCCGUGCCAGCAGCCGCGGUAAUAC
rnacentral:rRNA from 1 species